rnacentral:rRNA from 1 species
GACGUAGGGUCCAAGCGUUGUCCGGAUUUACUGGGCGUAAAGAGCGCGUAGGCGGUCUGUUAAGUGAGAAGUGAAAUCUCCAGGGCUCAACCCGGAAACUGCUUUUCAUACUGGCAGACUUGAGGGAUGCAGAGGUGAAUGGAAUUCCUGGUGUAGCGGUGAAAUGCGUUGAUAUCAGGAGGAACACCCAUGGCGAAGGCAGUUCACUGGGCAUCAUCUGACGCUGAGGAACGAAAGCCAGGGGAGCGAACGGG